CAUACGUGCAUGUACAUUGACUUUAACAUGGCAAGGAAUUUCUUUCAGAGAGCUGUAAACCAGCUUAAAAACAAAGAGUUUCGGAAGUAUCUGAGGAGGUAUGUGCAUCCAGAGGCGCUUGCAGUUUAUGUAAAAAUCCAAUAUGUAAACUUUCCUUGUCGAUUGCCGUCAGUGUAUAAGAAGCUUAAACUCUUCACUUUGUUGUAGAUGUAAGCAUAAAGUCACUGCUUACAUUUGGGUCCCUCAUUGCAGAAGUGCUGCUGGUGAUCACAGAAUUGCACUUAUAAUUUUUUUUGUUUGUUUUCUUUGUCUUUCCGUGAUCUGAAUGUGCCUGUUGGGAAAAUCCUUACAACAAAAGCACGGUAAGAAAGUAACAAACUGAUUUUUUGUUAAUAUACAUGUAAUUUUAUGACUACUGUUUAAUAAUCUCACACUAAUGUAUUGUAAGAAUCCUCUGAAAUUUAUUUAAUGGUACCUUCACCCUGCUGCAUGUUAGAUCAGCUCUGUGUUUUAUUGUUUGAUUUCAGCACUUCUGGGGACCAGUUAUUAAUUGGGGUCUUCCCCUAGUCGCAGUCAGCGAUAUGAGGAAGAGCCCCGACAUCAUCAGCGGUCGAAUGACCUUCGCUCUUACCUGUUACUCAGUGAUAUUUAUGAGGUUCUCAUACCGAGUCCAGCCCCGAAACUGGCUCCUUUUUUCUUGCCACAUGGCCAAUGUGACGGCACAAGUGAUCCAGGGAGGCCGGCUCAUCCGACACAAAAUGCAGAACAAAAAUGCGAAAUGAGCCUUUCCAUGCAGUAGAUAAGAGCACAGACGGGUUCGUGCAGAUAAAGGCAAAUUGAGGAAGAUCUCUACCAGAUCCAUGCAUCAGAUCAAGAGAGCAGCUGCUAAAAUGCCAUUAUGUAGCAGCAAACAGAUAUUUGAAGCUGCUGGUGCCUCUGGAGUCCCAUGGACAUCAAGGUGUAGAGUCCUCCACUGCAACUGUGCAUAAACCUUCUAUUCUGCCACCACUAACCAGUGCUCACAAGCAGAAACUGUCCAAAUACACAAGUUUAAUGGAUGCAAGACUUGUGAAGCUGCUAUCAAAUAAGGGGUCCUAUGUCAAAAUGUGACGUGACCUGUUUGAUUUCAGUACAUAUGCUGCAAACACAACAAAUGACAAUUUUCAGUUCUUUGCAACUUAUAAAGUGUUUUGCAGCUUACUGUGCAUAAUAAUUUGGAACAGUUCAUUGUAAGUGUUUUGUUUGACAA